rnacentral:lncRNA from 1 species
CUUGAACUUGUGAUCCUCCAGUCUCAGCCUCCUGAGUCACUAGGAUUAUAGGCAUGUGCCACCAUGCCUAGCUUGAACAUUUUUUUUUUGCAUCUUAUUGGUCCCUUCAUUAAUUAAUGAGUUAAAUCUUUGGCUGUGUUCAUUUUAUUUUUAUAUGAGAGUCAUGGUUUUACUUUUUUGAAAAUUAUUUUUUAAUAUUAAUACCAGACUAAAUGACUUAGAAAAAUACUUUUUUUUUUGGUACUGGAGAUUGAUCCCAGGAGCACUAUACUACUGAGCUACAUCCCUAGUCCCUUUUGCCAGGACUGGUUUCAAGCUGGCAAUCUUCCUGCCUGAGUCUCUGAAGUAGCUGGGAUUACAGGUGUGCGCCAUUGCUUCCGACUUACCAUGUGGUUUGAAACCCUAAAAUGAAUACCUUUCUUUGAAAUCACUCCAAAAGAACCAUUUUGAGUAGCAAGGGUGGAAUUUGUUUUUCUUUUCUUUUUGUGGUAGUACAGAAUGAACCCAAGAGCAUUUUAUCCCUGAGCUACAUCCCCAUCCCUUUUUAUUUUUAACUUUGCUAAAUUGCCCGGGCUGAUCUCAAAUUUGUGAUUCUUUUCCUUCUACCUCCCAAGAAGCUGGGAGGAACAUUAUUUUUAGUGUACAUAUGGGAAGUGUAUACAAUGAUCCAUCUGUAUAGGAAGAUUUUGGUUUUAUAGUGUUAGCAAUGUGAAGUUCUUAUUUUUUAAGCUGCUGUUCUGUUCUAAUUAUAGCAGUUGAAACUGUGUUUGAUUCUCAUGAUCUUUAUCACAUUGUGUGAUAUAGUAGGAUCAUGCUAUACCUCCUCAAAAUCUCUGUUAAAUCCAACUUAAAUACCUCUUAGAGGCUGGGAAUGAACUCACUGGUAUAGCACUUGGCUAGCAUGCAGAAGGCCUGGGGUUCAAAGCCCAGUAUUUUAAACAUACUCUUUGGAAUACAAUAUCCCUUUGCUUGAGGGCAAUUUGUUAUUAUAGUUGAGCCCAGUUUGGGAAACUGUGAGAAAGUUUCCAUGAAUUUAAAGUGAUCAAACUCCUAAGCAAGGACUUGAGGGUAUCCAGAUAGGGAACAGUCAGUACUCCCUGGGCCCCUGAGAGUCUGAGGAGAUGCAGUACAUGGCUGCUAGUCCUCCUCACCUGGCCUGGGAACAAAAAGCUGCAAAACCAGGCCCUAUAAACACUGGCAUGACCACUGGCUACUGCACAUCUGCAUUUCAGAGAUGCUUGAGGCCACAAGGAAAGGAAGCCUGCCUAGGGAUGGUCACGCCUGUGUGAGAGGCGAGGUGGAAAAGCAGAAACAGUUUCAGCCUCUGUGGGGCAGCACCACCUUCACAGCAGCACAGUGCUUACCCUGUUGCUCCCACCCUCUCCUCAGAACACACCAUGAGGUUCUGGAGGGAGUCACUCCUCUGAGGUCAAAUGAUAUGUGUGCUCAUGAAUGUGCUUUCAGUAUUAAAUCCCAGUACAGUAACUGUCAGUACAUAAAACUCACAUCGACCAGAGCACCACAGCCUUAGGUGUGACUGUGGAGAACAACGUGUGGGCUGAGUCCCUUCCCUGUGACCCGGGCACAUGGCAACAUUUGUUGUCCUCACUGGGGUCAGGGGUGUUUGUCUCGUUGCCUCUCCCCUUUCCACACCUGUGCAUUAAGGUUCCACACUGAAGCGUUGCUCCUGCUUCAGGGGCCAGCUCUGCCUGUGCAGCACUACAGGGCCAUGAGCUUCACCAGCUUGGAGAAGGCUACUCAUCUCCCAGCGGCAGCACAGGAGUGAUGGAAUUGGGAUUCAGACCAAUCGCUCUCAUGUCAGAAACUAAGCCCCCAACUGUGCCAUUGUGCCAAUCUCUCUCAUGCCAUUGCCCUCGCUCAGUGAAGGACAGUGCCACACGGUGG